rnacentral:rRNA from 1 species
GACGUAGGGCGCGAGCGUUGUCCGGAUUUAUUGGGCGUAAAGAGCUCGUAGGCGGCUUGUUGCGUCGACUGUGAAAACCCGCGGCUUAACCGCGGGCUUGCAGUUGAUACGGGCAGGCUAGAGUUCGGUAGGGGAGACUGGAAUUCCUGGUGUAGCGGUGAAAUGCGCAGAUAUCAGGAGGAACACCGAUGGCGAAGGCAGGUCUCUGGGCCACUACUGACGCUGAGAAGCGAAAGCGUGGGGAGCGAACAGG